rnacentral:rRNA from 1 species
GCAUGCAGUUGAGCGAAGCUUUUCAGUAGUUUACUACAGAAAAUGACUGAGCGGCGAACGGGUGAGUAACGCGUGAGCAAUCUACCUUAGUUACUGGGAUAGCCCGAGGAAACUCGGAUUAAUACCGGAUAUUCUUAAUUUUUCACAUGAAGUUUUAAGGAAAGGUCAGCCGAACUAAGAUGAGCUCGCGUUCUAUCAGCUAGUUGGUGGGGUAAAAGCCUACCAAGGCUACGACGGAUAGCUGGUCUGAGAGGACGAUCAGCCACACUGGGACUGAGACACGGCCCAGACUCCUACGGGAGGCUGCAGCAGGGAAUAUUGCGCAAUGAGCGAAAGCUUGACGCAGCGACACCGCGUGUGGGAUGACGGUUCUAGGAUUGUAAACCACUUUCAGGAGGGAAGAAAAUGACGGUACCUCCACAAGAAGACCCGGCCAACUACGUGCCAGCAGCCGCGGUAAUACGUAGGGGUCAAGCGUUGUCCGGAUUUAUUGGGCGUAAAGAGCUCGUAGGCGGUUCAACAAGUCGGUCGUAAAAGUUUAGGGCUCAACCCUAAAAUGUCGAUCGAUACUGUUGUGACUAGGAUACGGUAGAGGUGAAUGGAAUUCCGAGUGUAGCGGUGAAAUGCGUAGAUAUUCGGAGGAACACCAAUUGCGAAGGCAGUUCACUGGACCGUGAUCGACGCUGAGGAGCGAAAGCUAGGGGAGCAAACAGGAUUAGAUACCCUGGUAGUCCUAGCUGUAAACGAUG